CUUUUCUAAUUGUUUUGACGAAAAACAAACUUCAAAAGUUCAAAACAUUAUGUCGUGUUAGUAAACAUUCAACAAACCGUUUGCUUUCGUUACCUCCAUAAAACAUGCUUUGUGACUGAUUGUAUUGAUAUCAACCUGAUAACACCGCAUUUCACUAUUUCAGUAUUCGAUUUGAGUAAUAAGUUAUAAUAAAAAUACAUAAUUCAAAUGCUUCACUGGUAUUUACGCUUAAGAAUUAAAUUCAUAUAUCCAAGCCAAAAUGGAAAUCGAUGAUGAAGAUGUUGUCAUAGGCGGCACAGAAUUGCAAAAGUACUUAACUGCUGUCGGAUACUCUGAAUUUGAAGUUUCUGAACAAAAACAUGUUGAAAAGUUUUGUGCGAUUGAAGCACAAAAAUGUUCAAAGAAAAAAAUGAGAUUGACCCAAAAUCACAAGGAUUUUGAAUUGUGUGUAACAUUAAUCAAGAUAAUCAUAGAGAGUCAACUUAUUUUCAAAGAAGAUACUUUAUUUAUUAAGGAAUUUAUUCCAUCAGAACACUUUAAAUAUCCUCUAUUUCUUACAAAACAAAAAAGUUUAACUCUUCUUGUUUUAUGCAUAUUCUGUGGUAUUAUGAAUAUGUUUUUUUCAAAAUACUGGGAUGUAUGGACAACAGUUGGUUUAUUAAUUUUUUGGUUUGGAUGUGUGUUCAUGGAUGUAAUAUAUAACUUGAAACAAAAUAGAACAAUAAAAAAUACUAUAAUGAAAACCAUUCAAUCUAUGGAAAAAUUAUCUCUGCUGAUACAAAAGUCUACUCAUUUUCUUCAAGAAUGUAACAAUCUUCAUAAAAGUUAUUAUGACACAUAUGCUGGUAAAAAUCCUAAUGCCUUCAAUUACUUGUUGAUGCCAGAAUUUAAAUCUUUACUUAUAACUGUGUUACAAGAGUUGAUCAACAAUCUUGUAAAUAAUGUGUCUGAAGUUCACACAUUUUUCCCUCUAAAAGAUUCUGUUUCCAACAUUGUUUAUUUAUAUCGCACAGACUGCAAAAUUGAUUUAAACAACACUUCUUUUGAAAAUAUAAAUAAAUCCAAGUAUACUUACUUUCUAUUACAAUCAGAAUUCUUGAAACAGUCAGCAUUGUGUUUAUGCCCAGCAUUAUGGACUCCUUACAGUUCUUUUCACUUGAAUCGUCUAAUUGAAACUAUUGGUGAAAUUGAAAAAGUGUAUUCAAACUCAUAUAAUAUUUUAUAUGACGAGUAUAAUAUCUAUUCAAUGUUCAAAAAUAAUAAUACUAUAGAACAUAGUAAACAACCAGUUCAAGAUAAUAACAGAAAUUCUGAUCUGAAGUUGAAAAUAUAUAGUGUUCGACAUUUCUUGCAAAACAUGAUGGUGCAUGUAAGGUUCAUGGAAGACUCAAUUGAAAACUCUUCAGCAUACAGUGCUGAUGAUAUAAAUAAUACAUUGAAUGUUUUAGUAAAAGAAGGCAAUGUUUUUAAUGAACUUAUUUCUUCUUUACAAAUUUAUAUUCUAAAAACAAAUAAUGACCAAACAGAUAAAACUAUAUUAACUAAUGAUUCCAUUGGUGUAAUUGAUCAUAUAGAUACAGAAACCAAUGAACCAAUUAAAGAAGUCUGUGAAGAUGAAUUAUUUUUUGGUGUAUCUGAAGAACCUACGGAAAAAAAGGAAAAUACAUUUUGUGAUGAAAUAGUAUUUGAUAAGUCUAACAAUCAUAAUUUAAUGUUAGAAUUGAAAGUUGCACUUAAAGAUAAACAAGAAGAAUGGAAACAACGAGAAUGCAAGUUGUUAGAAAAACAUCCACAGUUAAAUGACUUUUCUGAUGACGAAGAAUGUAAUGAGAAACAUGUCCAAUACAUAAAUAAAGUGCGUAAAGUAGCCAUAGAUUUGCCUCCUAAUGAAAGUUUUCCUAUGCAAUUGCCUGAUAAAAGCUUUGCUAGUGAAAUUGCCAUGAUCGCUUGUAAACGGAAUACAGCAAUAGAGUGUUUUGGAGAUGAUUCUGAUUCGAAUAUAUCUGUGGACUCAAAUGAUUCUUAAAUUAUUUUGUUCCAAUAAUCAAUUUCUAGUCAAAUUAUUGAAUAUUAAUUAUGUUUUCGGUUUUUGUGAUAUGAUGUUGUUCUAUUGCUGUUCUAAUCAACUAAUCAAUCAUUUAUGUCAAAUGAUCUUGGCUUACAUAAAACAAUACUUUAAUUCCAUUAAAGAUUCAAAUAGCCAAGUAACCAAUGAAGUUGCAGCUGGUUUGAAGGAUAAUAUGACGUUGCAAUGUACUAGCGUGCUUCCAGACUACUUGUAUGUUAUAAGGAUUUUUAUCUUCAAAAAUGUGUAUAUAAAUAAGUUGAUUAAUAUCAUAAUCAGAUGUUAUGUGAUAUUAUGAAUAAAGAUACAAAAACAAAAUAUUUA